rnacentral:rRNA from 1 species
UUUAACGGCCGCGGUAUCCUAACCGUGCAAAGGUAGCGCAAUCAAUUGUCCCAUAAAUCGGGACCUGUAUGAAUGGCUAAACGAGGUCUUAACUGUCUCUUACAGGCAAUCGGUGAAAUUGAUCUCCCUGUGCGAAAGCAGGGAUGCACACAUAAGACGAGAAGACCCUGUGGAACUUCAAAAACAGCAACCACCCCAACAUACAUCCACCCCCACCUCGGGCUCACUUACCCCACGGGCCAUUGGUUUGCAUUUUUUCGGUUGGGGCGACCUUGGAGCAAAACAAAACCUCCAAAAACUGGACCAAACCUCUAGACUAAGAGCGACCCCUCAACGUGCUAAUAGCACCCAGACCCAAUAUAAUUGAUCAAUGGACCAAGCUACCCCAGGGAUAACAGCGCAAUCUCCUCCAAGAGUCCAUAUCGACGGGGAGGUUUACGACCUCGAUGUUGGAUCAGGACAUCCUAGUGGUGCAGCCGCUACUAA